AGACGUCUACAUUAGACUACCCCGGUAGUCCCAGCCGUAAACUAUGCGCGUUAGGUGUAUCGGUGACCACGAGUUACCGAGGUGCCGAAGGGAAACCGUGAAACGUGCCGCCUGGGAAGUACGGUCGCAAGGCUGAAACUUAAAGGAAUUGGCGGGGAGCACCACAACAGGUGGAGCCUGCGGUUUAAUUGGACUCAACGCCGGGAAGCUCACCGGAUAGGACAGCAGAAUGAUUGCCGGGCUGAAGACCCUGCAUGACUAGCUG
rnacentral:rRNA from 1 species